rnacentral:rRNA from 1 species
GAUGAACGCUGGCGGCGUGCUUAACACAUGCAAGUCGAACGGAAAGGCUCCUGCUUGCAGGGGUACUCGAGUGGCGAACGGGUGAGUAACACGUGGGUGAUCUGCCCUGCACUUCGGGAUAAGCCUGGGAAACUGGGUCUAAUACCGGAUAGGACCAUCGUUUAGUGUCGGUGGUGGAAAGUUUUUUCGGUGUGGGAUGAGCUCGCGGCCUAUCAGCUUGUUGGUGGGGUAAUGGCCUACCAAGGCGUCGACGGGUAGCCGGCCUGAGAGGGUGUACGGCCUCAUUGGGACUGAGAUACGGCCCAGACUCCUACGGGAGGCAGCAGUGGGGAAUAUUGCACAAUGGGCGCAAGCCUGAUGCAGCGACGCCGCGUGGGGGAUGACGGCCUUCGGGUUGUAAACUCCUUUCGCCAGGGACGAAGCGAAAGUGACGGUACCUGGAUAAGAAGCACCGGCUAACUACGUG